GAUGAACGCUGGCGGCGUGCCUAAUACAUGCAAGUCGAGCGAACAGAUGAGGAGCUUGCUCCUCUGACGUUAGCGGCGGACGGGUGAGUAACACGUGGAUAACCUACCUAUAAGACUGGGAUAACUUCGGGAAACCGGAGCUAAUACCGGAUAAUAUAUUGAACCGCAUGGUUCAAUAGUGAAAGACGGUUUUGCUGUCACUUAUAGAUGGAACCGCGCUGCAUUAGCUAGUUGGUAAGGUAACGGCUUACCAAGGCAACGAUGCAUAGCCGACCUGAGAGGGUGAUCGGCCACACUGGAACUGAGACACGGUCCAGACUCCUACGGGAGGCAGCAGUAGGGAAUCUUCCGCAAUGGGCGAAAGCUUGACGGAGCAACGCCGCGUGAGUGAUGAAGGUCUUCGGAUCGUAAAACUCUGUUAUUAGGGAAGAACAAAUGUGUAAGUAACUAUGCACGUCUUGACGGUACCUAAUCAGAAAGCCACGGCUAACUACGUG
rnacentral:rRNA from 1 species